rnacentral:lncRNA from 1 species
GCAGGUGCUGUCCAGUUCAGGUUCUAGUGUGGGGGGGCUUGCUCUUGUGGUUUUGCUCCCUGCGAAGUAGCAGGUGGGCCCUUGCUUGGUGGGGGCCUCCCCUGCCAGAUCUGCUCCCCUCCCUCAGGAAGGGGGACACCCUGCUGGGGCACCUCCAAGGAGGCAGGGACGCUCCCCUGUCACACAGCCGAGGUUCCUGCCCGCAAGCAGCUCAGGUCCCCCAGGCCCCUGCCUGCGGCCUGCCAGCCCCACAUCCCUCCAAGUCCUGGGACCUCUCUCAGACGGGACUUUGUGAGGACCAGCAUUCCUGGGCCCGCGGCCUGUGUUGCUGAGCGUGGUGCUGGGGGGCCUCCCUAAACACCCUGUUCUUCAUUCUCAGAACUCUGGCACAGAAACCCCCUGCUCCCCGAGUGGCCUUCCUGGUGUGGACUGGGGAAGUUACAGGAUCCCCCUGCCCAGAAAGGCCCCCAGGCUGUGUGUCUGUCAGGGUUGAUGCCCCACUGCAAACCAGGAGGCUGAGCUGCUCUCAGGCCCUGGGCGCCAGCUCCCAGGCCUCCCCAAGUAGCCCUCUCUCCCGUGUAUUCAGGGGAACCCACUCGGCCUGGGCUGUCCCAGGUUUAAACAAAGUCCAGGGCGGUUGGUCACCUUACGUGUCACCUGGGUGUGGGGUCAGGCCUGCUGGGGUCUCACCUGCCCUCCCUCUACCCCUUGCAGAGAGGCCUUACGUACCCCUAGGCUGGCUGCGUGCACCCCACCCUACCAGCAUCCCAGGUGUCUCCCCCAAAACCCCCUCACUCCCCGAGCACCGGGGCGGCCUGACUCCUCAAGACUGGAAUUCCCCACGGCUGGGGGCCGGGUGCCCCACGGGAAGCUUGAGGGAACCCCAAGGCCAGCAAGAGCGGGACAUCCCAGAUUGGGGCCGGGGCCACCUCCAGGUCCCUGGUAUCCCCUGGGGUCUGCCCCUAAGACCGAUCAGGGGACUCUCCUUGGUGACUCCCCUGGUCUGUGGGUCUUGUCUCUCUUUGGGGAACCUGCCUCAGUUUCCCUCUGCCUCGGGCCUAACCCACAGACCCAGAUGGGCAGGGGCUGAGAAGCCUCUGCGGCCCCCCCGAGGCCCACAAGCUUUUGAACUGUGUAUUACAUAUAUAAUUUAAGUUUUAUAUAUUUUAUAUAUAUAUAAUGAGAUUAACCCAGCACAGGAAAAAGUAGCCUUGGGGGAGGGGAAGAACCACAAUUACAGGGAAAAUUGUGCUCUGAGUGCCUCAGGAUAACUGAUUUUUUUAAAAACAACAAAAAAAAGUUUUUUAAGUAGAAUAAUUUUAUAUAAGUGUCAACACAGCUGGCUGAAUUCUUUGGGAUUUUUAAUAACGAUCCUCUAAAGUCGAUUUGGAGACCUGUACAUAACAGCACUGUAGCAAUAAAUGUGACAUUUUAUGAC